rnacentral:rRNA from 1 species
GGCGAACAACCCGGCUACCGGCGCUGCUCUUUUCCCGUGCUCUUGUGGAUUUCCACUUUUUACUCUUUUUCUUCUGAUGCGCUAAGGGUGCUUUGGUGCACCCGACAAAAAAUGCGGAUAACUUUUAACAAUGGAUCUCUUGGCUCUCGCAUCGAUGAAGGACGCAGCGAAAUGCGAUAGGUAGUGUGAAUUGCAGAAUUCAGUGAAUCAUCGAAUCUUUGAACGCACAUUGCGCCCUCUGGUUAUCCCAGAGGGCACUCUUGUUUGAAGCCCCGGAAAGGACGGUCGCUUUGCGGCCAGGUUGCUGGACGUGCAAAAGUUUGGGGGUCAUUCCGGAACAGCGUUGAGGCCUUCCUCCGCAUCCAAGUCUGACAAACCCGAGCAGCUCCCGGGAGAAGGGUCCGCGAGGGAAUGCGGUUUCCCGCGUUUUUUUUUCGCGUCUGAACGUGUGUGCUUCCGUUCACACGAUCCCCCCGGUGAUUCCAGGCCCAACAGGCACGCCGUCGUAAUGAGCAUCGACGGUGUACAUUGGUAUUAUACGUAUCAAGUCAAACGACAAUACCUAUAAUACUAAUGUAUAUAACUAUAUUACGUGUUCUCAUGCGGCCCGGUCGUCCCAAAUGUAUCCCUCUACGUCGCCGGUGAAUAGCGCUCCCUCUGUUACCUCUUUCUGUUGCUUUUCUGCGCGUUUGGUGCUUUCGUUAGGGUGUACUAUAUGUGCUUUUUAGUAUAUAGAAGGUUGGUGUCGCUUUGCAGUUUCUUAGGUAGUUGGAGAUUUCAGAACGACCGGGAGCGGAAGUAGCCACAUGGCAAAAAAUGACGUUCAGGCCAAUUUUAUUUUCACCAGAAUGGAAGGGGGUUUCAAAUCAAGAGGGAUUACCCG